UAACUUCAGAAAUUCUGCUAGUUGUGGGGUUCUAAAAGAGAACAAAGUUGAUGUGAUUGUUUUUAUAAAUUGGAAAAGUACUUUUAAAAAUAUAAUGUUGAAGUCCUGAGAGAUGAGUGGCAGGUUUCCUGGUUUCUCUUUGAAUGUCUAAUUCCACAAAGUAUUGAAAAUUGCAAUGAAAAGGAGAGUUUAGAAAACAGCUAGUUCUUUCAGACCUCUGGGACCUUGCACAGUGUCUCUGGCAGAGAAACCAAGAAGUAUAUAAUUUUAAGUAGAAUUUAAAUUCUAAUAAUCUUGACACAAUUUUAAAAAUGGAGUGAAUAUAAUUUGCACUUUAAAAAUAUAAAAUGGGGCAGAUGACCUGCUAACAUGUUUUAUAUACACUGUGAUUUGAACAGAUAGUUUCUAGUGGAAAUGAACAGAGGUAAUUUUCUAUUAUGUCCUCCUCAUAACUGCAUCUCCACCAUUUCUGAGACUAAUCAAAUGUGAUUAUAGUUGCACUAACACAUUAUUUUGAACAAACUGCUCUGUUAGCAAAUUAAAUAGCUAAUUUCUUAUUUGAGACUUGCUUUUAGACACCUAGUUUGUUUUACUACAGUUUGCAUAUGUUUUGUGAAAUUGAGCUGGAUUUCAUUAGGCAAUAGAAGACAUUUACUAUUGACAAAUCAUCUUUAUUGAUUAUUUUGAGUUAUUUUCAUUCUUUUAAGUCUUCCAAAUGAUAAAUUGAACAGCUAAAUAACCAUACUGCUGCUGAUAUGCCUUCAUAAAUCAUUUUCAUCAGCAGCUGAGUGUCCAAAUUCUAAUGAUAAAUUGCCCCUUUGUCUCUGGGGAGUUUGGUUAGAGACUUGUCCAGUGGUCCUGACCAUGCCCUUUCCAUAGUAUAGUGACAUACUUAAGAGCAGUAGUUGUCUUGGGACUCCAUUGUAGUGGGAUCUUGGUUUGGUAGUCUCGGAGGCAGCAUAAUCUUGGUAAGAGUUCUGACCUUGAAUUGAACCUUCAGGGAAUGUGCCAUUGUGCUUACAUGGAGACCUGUGCUCCCAAAGUGAGGUAAUGAGGAUAGUCAGCUGUUAGCAUUUGUUUCUGAUGGUGUUGCAAGUUUACUGUGUGGACUCUGCCAUGCUAUUCCUCUGUAACCAGCAAGGUGUCACGUGAACUGUUAAAGAAAUAAGCCUAUGAGCAUUGGCCUCGGAGAUUUUGUUGCUCUGUCUAGAAAACCCUAUAUUGUGAGAUGGGCUUUCAAAUGCUGCUGACCUGAAGCCUGCCAGCUCUCACCUGAACUACUGAGUAGGAAAUACCUUCAUUAUGUGAUUUGCUGAGCUCGGAUACAUUCAGAAAUGCCAUUUUCCUUACUUUGUCCUGCUCUUUGAAGCCAGCAAGACGUUGUUUUGAAUUCUCAAGAACAAGGAUUUAAAUCAGCUGUGGUCUUAACUGCACAUUAGACAACAUAUUUAAUUUGCAGCUACCAAGAAGUCCUACAGUCUUCACGGCAUGUUGUGGGAGGCAGCCCUGUGAACCUGGGCAAAAGAUGAGUGUGUUCUGUCUUUCUGUACCAAAGAAUCUGCAAGAGUAUAGGCAUGUACAUUACAUACAGGCCCUGAUCUGUGCAGAGGUUUAUGCUAAUUCUUAAUUUUAUGCAGUAUCCAGGUCCACAGAUUCUUCUUGCAGGCAGAACCAGAUCAGUCAGUCAUCAUGGGACCUGGAGUUAAGCUCUGCACCAGAAGUGCCUAUUUCCUAUUCUCUUCUGCAUCCAGAUCCACAGAUCCCACAGUGUGA